CCUACGGGAGGCAGCAGUGAGGAAUAUUGGUCAAUGGACGAGAGUCUGAACCAGCCAAGUAGCGUGAAGGAUGACUGCCCUAUGGGUUGUAAACUUCUUUUAUAUGGGAAUAAAACGUUCCACGUGUGGGAUUUUGUAUGUACCAUAUGAAUAAGGAUCGGCUAACUCCGUGCCAGCAGCCGCGGUAAUACGGAGGAUCCGAGCGUUAUCCGGAUUUAUUGGGUUUAAAGGGAGCGUAGGUGGAUUGUUAAGUCAGUUGUGAAAGUUUGCGGCUCAACCGUAGAAUUGCAGUUGAAACUGGCAGUCUUGAGUACAGUAGAGGUGGGCGGAAUUCGUGGUGUAGCGGUGAAAUGCUUAGAUAUCACGAAGAACUCCGAUUGCGAAGGCAGUUCACUGGACUGCAACUGACACUGAGGCUCGAAAGUGUGGGUAUCAAACAGGAUUAGAUACCCUUGUAGUC
rnacentral:rRNA from 1 species